rnacentral:rRNA from 1 species
GACGAACGCUGGCGGCGUGCUUAACACAUGCAAGUCGAACGAUGAAGCUAGAGCUUGCUCUGGUGAAUUAGUGGCGAACGGGUGAGUAACACGUGAGUAACCUGCCCCGAACUCUGGGAUAACUGCUGGAAACGGUAGCUAAUACUGGAUACGACCUACGAAGGCAUCUUCUGUAGGUGGAAAGAAUUUCGGUUCGGGAUGGACUCGCGGCCUAUCACCUUGUUGGUGAGGUAAUGGCUCACCAAGGCGACGACGGGUAGCCGGCCUGAGAGGGUGACCGGCCACACUGGGACUGAGACACGGCCCAGACUCCUACGGGAGGCAGCAGUGGGGAAUAUUGCACAAUGGGCGCAAGCCUGAUGCAGCAACGCCGCGUGAGGGAUGACGGCCUUCGGGUUGUAAACCUCUUUUAGUAGGGAAGAGGCGAAAGUGACGGUACCUGCAGGAAAAGCACCGGCUAACUACGUGCCAGCAGCCGCCGUAA